AAGAUGUUUUUCUGUCUUCAGCGUGUGGGAGAUUCAGGAGCAUUUUGUUUGUCUACAACACCGUUGUUCUAAGAAAUAGGAUACCUUGUUAUAGAGGUCAUUUGACUUUAUUUAGGAUUGGAAAUAUUUUGUGUCAAUCUAACGCAACCAUUUGGUCUAAAUUGAAUAUUUUCAUACUACAAUCCUGCUCUCUCCAUUGCUC
rnacentral:misc_RNA from 1 species